rnacentral:rRNA from 1 species
GUGGGGAAUAUUGGACAAUGGGCGAAAGCCUGAUCCAGUCAUGCCGCGUGUGUGAAGAAGGUCUUCGGAUUGUAAAGCACUUUAAGUUGGGAGGAAGGGCAGUAAGUUAAUACCUUGCUGUUUUGACGUUACCGACAGAAUAAGCACCGGCUAACUUCGUGCCAGCAGCCGCGGUAAUACGAAGGGUGCAAGCGUUAAUCGGAAUUACUGGGCGUAAAGCGCGCGUAGGUGGUUUUGUAAGUUGGAGGUGAAAUCCCCGGGCUCAACCUGGGAACUGCCUCCAAAACUGCAUGACUAGAGUACGGUAGAGGGUAGUGGAAUUUCCUGUGUAGCGGUGAAAUGCGUAGAUAUAGGAAGGAACACCAGUGGCGAAGGCGACUACCUGGACUGAUACUGACACUGAGGUGCGAAAGCGUGGGGAGCAAACAGGAUUAGAUACCCCAGUAGUCC